UACAGAGGGUGCAAGCGUUAAUCGGAAUUACUGGGCGUAAAGCGUGCGUAGACGGUUGCGUAAGUCAGAUGUGAAAGCCCCGGGCUCAACCUGGGAAUUGCAUUUGAGACUGCGUAGCUAGGGUGCGGAAGAGGGAAGCGGAAUUUCCGGUGUAGCGGUGAAAUGCGUAGAUAUCGGAAGGAACACCAGUGGCGAAAGCGGCUUCCUGGUCCAGCACCGACGUUCAGGCACGAAAGCGUGGGGAGCAAACAG
rnacentral:rRNA from 1 species